GAUGAACGCUGGCGGCGUGCCUAAUACUUGCAAGUCGAGCGAAUGGAUUAAGAGCUUGCUCUUAUGAAGUUAGCGGCGGACGGGUGAGUAACACGUGGGUAACCUGCCCAUAAGACUGGGAUAACUCCGGGAAACCGGGGCUAAUACCGGAUAAUAUUUUGAACUGCAUGGUUCAAAAUUGAAAGGCGGCUUCGGCUGUCACUUAUGGAUGGACCCGCGUCGCAUUAGCUAGUUGGUGAGGUAACGGCUCACCAAGGCAACGAUGCGUAGCCGACCUGAGAGGGUGAUCGGCCACACGGGGACUGAGACACGGCCCAGACUCCUACGGGAGGCAGCAGUAGGGAAUCUUCCGCAAUGGACGAAAGUCGGACGGAGCAACGCCGCGUGAGUGAUGAAGGCUUUCGGGUCGUAAAACUCUGUUGUUAGGGAAGAACAAGUGCUAGUUGAAUAAGCUGGCACCUUGACGGUACCUAACCAGAAAGCCACGGCUAACUACGUGCCAGCCGCCGCAGUAA
rnacentral:rRNA from 1 species